UACGUAGGGGGCAAGCGUUGUCCGGAAUCAUUGGGCGUAAAGCGCGUGUAGGCGGCCCGAUAAGUCCGCUGUGAAAGUCCAGGGCUCAACCCUGGGAUGCCGGUGGAUACUGUCGGGCUCGAGUCCGGAAGAGGCGAGUGGAAUUCCGUGGUGUAGCGGUGAAAUGCGUAGAGUAAUCGAGAGGAACACCUGCGGCGAAGGCGGGUUGCUGGGCUGAUACUGACGCUGAGGCGCGAAAGCCAGGGGAGCGAACGGG
rnacentral:rRNA from 1 species